UUGGUCUGUAGUUUCCUGGGUCUGUUUUUUUUUUUUCCUUUUUUGAAGAUGGGAACCACAUCAGCUCUUUUUCAGUCCUCUUGUAGUUCCC